rnacentral:rRNA from 1 species
GAUGAACGCUAGCUACAGGCUUAACACAUACAAGUCGAGGGGAAACGACAUCGAAAGCUUGCUUUUGAUGGGCGUCGACCGGCGCACGGGUGAGUAACGCGUAUCCAACCUGCCCACCACUUGGGGAUAACCUUGCGAAAGUAAGACUAAUACCCAAUGAUAUCCCACGAAGACAUCUGAAUGGGAUUAAAGAUUUAUCGGUGAUGGAUGGGGAUGCGUCUGAUUAGCUUGUUGGCGGGGUAACGGCCCACCAAGGCAACGAUCAGUAGGGGUUCUGAGAGGAAGGUCCCCCACAGUGGAACUGAGACACGGUCCAAACUCCUACGGGAGGCAGCAGUGAGGAAUAUUGGUCAAUGGGCGAGAGCCUGAACCAGCCAAGUAGCGUGCAGGAAGACGGCCCUAUGGGUUGUAAACUGCUUUUAUAAGGGAAUAAAGUGGGUCACGUGUGACUUUUUGCAUGUACCUUAUGAAUAAGGACCGGCUAAUUCCGUG